rnacentral:rRNA from 1 species
GACAGAGGGUGCGAGCGUUGUUCGGAAUUACUGGGCGUAAAGCGCGCGCAGGCGGAUCCUGCAAGUCGGAAGUGAAAUGUGGCUGCUCAACGGCCACGCUGCUUCCGAUACUGCGGAUCUGGGGACCGGUAGAGGCUGGUGGAAUUGCAGGUGUAGCGGUGGAAUGCGUAGAGAUCUGCAAGACACCGUGGCGAAGGCGGCCAGCUGGGCCGGAUCCGACGCUGAGGCGCGAAAGCUAGGGGAGCAAACGGG